rnacentral:rRNA from 1 species
UACAGAGGUCCCAAGCGUUGUUCGGAUUCACUGGGCGUAAAGGGCGCGUAGGCGGCGCCACAAGUCACCUGUGAAAACUCUGGGCUCAACCCAGAGCCUGCAGGCGAAACUGUGGUGCUGGAGUAUGGGAGAGGUGCGUGGAAUUCCCGGUGUAGCGGUGAAAUGCGUAGAGAUCGGGAGGAACACCAGUGGCGAAGGCGGCUACCUGGACCAGCACUGACACUGAAGCACGAAAGCGUGGGGAGCAAACAGG